GUGCCAGCAGCCGCGGUAAUACGGAGGGUGCAAGCGUUAAUCGGAAUUACUGGGCGUAAAGCGCGCGUAGGUGGCUUGAUAAGCCGGUUGUGAAAGCCCCGGGCUCAACCUGGGAACGGCAUCCGGAACUGUCAAGCUAGAGUGCAGGAGAGGAAGGUAGAAUUCCCGGUGUAGCGGUGAAAUGCGUAGAGAUCGGAGGAAAUCCCAGUGGGGAGGGCGCCUUUUUGGAUUGCCACUGACACUGAGGUGCAAAAAGCGUGGGUACCAAACAGGAUUAGAUCCCCUGGUAGUCC
rnacentral:rRNA from 1 species